UUUGAUUCAAAUUCUUUGUUUUUUUCCUCCCAUCUUGCACAUUCCAGAAAGUCCUAUGAGUUUGAAGAUUUACUGCAGUCUUCCUCUGAGAGCAGCAGGGUGGACUGGUACGCGCAGACUAAGCUGGGGCUGACACGUACUUUAUCGGAGGAGAACGUCUAUGAAGACAUUCUAGAUCCGCCAAUGAAGGAGAACCCUUAUGAGACAUCGAGUUACACGGUCGCUGCCUGGGAAAGAAGUGUGUCUUGAAUUUUCUGCUUCUCCCACCUCUUCCAUCCUGACACGCUCACCAAGCAGUCAUUGUCCAAACCUGCUUUUUUCCGACAAAAUUCAGAGAGGAGGAACUUCAAACUGCUGGACACUAGGAAGCUGAGUCGGGAUGGAACUGGGUCCCCUUCCAAAAUCAGCCCCCCCUCCACUCCCAGCAGCCCUGACGACACUUUCUUUAACCUUGGAGACCCACAGAACGGCAGGAAGAAGAGAAAGAUACCUAAGCUGGUGUUGCGAAUCAACGCCAUUUAUGAGGUCCGGAGAGGAAAGAAACGGGUGAAGAGGCUGUCCCAGUCAAUGGAGAGCAACUCAGGAAAGAACGUUGAUCUGUGCUGCCACACAGAAAGAGUUUCCUACAUGAGAAGAACUCACAUUUGCAACUUUCUUCCUUGUUCUUUUCUUCUAGUGACAGAUGAGAACAGUGAGUCUGACAGUGACACAGAGGAGAAGCUGAAAGCUCACAGCCAGCGCCUGGUCAACGUGAAGUCCCGCCUGAAGCAGGCGCCUCGGUACCCAUCACUUGCCCGGGAGCUCAUCGAGUACCAGGAGAGGCAGCUCUUCGAGUAUUUUGUGGUUGUGUCUUUGCACAAGAAGCAGGCUGGGGCUGCCUACGUACCAGAACUCACCCAACAGUUCCCUCUGAAGUUGGAAAGAUCUUUCAAGUUCAUGAGAGAGGCUGAGGACCAACUGAAGGCCAUUCCCCAGUUCUGUUUCCCUGAUGCCAAGGAUUGGGUUCCUUCCAGCAGUUCACCAGUGAAACAUUCUCAUUUGUCUUAACUGGAGAAGAUGGAGCAGAAGGUUCGGUUACUGCCGAAGACUGCUGCCUGGAGGCAAAGGGAAGCGCCUUCCUGAAGUUUACUGCAUUGUGAGCCGCCUCGGAUGCUUCAGCCUCUUUUCAAAGAUAUUGGAUGAGGUGGAAAAAAGACGAGGCAUCUCUCCUGCCCUGGUUCAACCACUCAUGAGAAGUGUCAUGGAAGCUCCUUUCCCAGCCCUGGGCAAAACCAUCCUUGUCAAGAACUUCCUGCCAGGUUCAGGAACUGAGGUGAUCGAACUGUGCCGCCCGCUGGAUUCCCGGCUCGAGCACGUGGACUUUGAGUCUCUCUUCUCCUCCCUCAGUGUCCGCCACCUGGUCUGUGUGUUUGCCUCCCUGCUUCUGGAGAGGAGGUCAUCUUCAUCGCAGACAAGCUCAGCACCCUGUCCAAGUGCUGCCACGCAAUGGUGGCGCUGAUCUACCCCUUCACCUGGCAGCACACCUACAUCCCGGUGCUGCCACCCGCCAUGGUCGACAUCGUGUGCUCGCCAACGCCCUUCCUCAUCGGGCUGCUCUCCAGCUCUCUGCCCCUGCUCAGGGAGCUGCCGCUGGAAGAGGUCCUUGUGGUUGACCUCGUCAACAGCCGGUUCCUCAGACAGAUGGAUGAUGAAGACUCCAUUCUGCCCCGAAAGCUUCAGGUGGCCCUGGAACACAUUCUGGAACAGAGGAACGAGCUGGCUCGUGAGCAGGACGAAGGGCCCCUAGACAGCAGGCACGGCUCAGGGUCCAGCCCCUUGAAUGAGGUGGUAUCUGAAGCCUUUGUCCGCUUCUUCGUGGAGAUUGUGGGACACUACUCUUUGUUCCUGACGUCCGGUGAGCGCGAGGAGAGAACCCUGCAGCGGGAGGCCUUCCGCAAAGCUGUCUCCUCCAAGAGUCUCCGCCACUUCCUGGAGGUCUUCAUGGAGACUCAGAUGUUUCGGGGCUUCAUCCAGGAGCGGGAGCUGCGCCGGCAGGACGCCAAAGGACUGUUUGAGGUCCGAGCCCAAGAGUAUCUGGAAACACUCCCCAGUGGAGAGCACAGCGGUGUCAAUAAGUUCCUGAAGGGACUAGGCAAUAAAAUGAAAUUUCUCCACAAGAAAUAACUCUCAGCUCAGCCUCAAGGGAAAACUUCCUCCUAGUGCAGCUCCAUGCUUUAAAAACAGUUCCUGGGGGCCUUUCUGAAAGGCUGGCUCCCAGGUUGUCCUGGUGCGGAACUGGAGGCCACGGUGGCUUCUGACUGAGGCUGGGCUUUCCCCUGGAUGGGGGCCUGGAAGCCACCCGGGAGGACAGCCCCGGAAAGGGAGCCCGAGACCAGGCGUGUCGUGGACAUGCAAAUGGGUUGUUUCGGCGGUUGGGGUUUUUUUUAUCUUAGAUAUUAAAAGUAAGAAAAAUGUG